rnacentral:rRNA from 1 species
GCUAAUACCGCAUGUGGUCAUCGGGUUUAGAAACCGAUGACUAAAGCAGUAAUGCGCUUUGGGAGGGACCUGCGUCCCAUCAGCUAGUUGGUAGGGUAACGGCCUACCAAGGCGACGACGGGUAGGGGACCUGAGAGGGUGGCCCCCCACAAUGGAACUGAAACACGGUCCAUACACCUACGGGUGGCAGCAGUAGGGAAUAUUGCUCAAUGGGCGAAAGCCUGAAGCAGCAACGCCGCGUGUGCGAUGAAGGUCUUCGGAUCGUAAAGCACUUUUCUGAGAGAUGAGAAAGGACAGUAUCUCAGGAAUAAGUCUCGGCUAACUACGUGCCAGCAGCCGCGGUAACACGUAGGAGGCGAGCGUUAUCCGGAUUCACUGGGCGUAAAGCGCGUGCAGGCGGUUUGGUAAGUUGGGCGUGAAAGCUCCCGGCUCAACUGGGAGAGGUCGUCCAAUACUACCAGACUUGAGAGCAGAAGAGGAAGAUGGAAUUCCCGGUGUAG